ACAACCUAUCUUUCUCUGACAAGAGGGAACUACUAUAUUCCUAGUCUAAGGAGAGUCUAAUUAUCUUGGUGGCAAAGUCUUUCUAGCUAUCAUUUUGCAUUAUUCUCACCAUUCCCCCUUUCCACUUUCCACAUAUCCAAGGUAACUAAAUCAGCUGUGUUCAGAAGAAAUAUUUUCUGGUGUUCCUGCAGGCACAACACUGAUGGCUGCAGAAAUUUUACUCUAUAAAUUCAGCAUGCCAAAGGAUAUAAACUGACUCUGUAGAAUACAGUUAACUAGCUGUCCUUGGAGAACCCUGGGGGAGGGUCUGCUGCUGCCCUGGAUUGUUGCUGGGACCACGCAGAUGACUGGAGUAGGAGCCAAGCACAACAGCUGGCAUCCAGGGGACUGCACGAGAGAGCUGACAAGAAGCACUAACUGGAGGGGGUGCGGGACCUUUACCACCUUUUCACCUCGGUCAAGCCCCUCCAUUAUUCCCAUGGUUGUCGCUUUGCACAUCGAACGGUCCCUGCCACGUCACCACUGCUUUUCCUCUUGCUUCGGACAUCCUGGGCUCUCGUGCGAGCAGUUUCCGGAACUCGCUGGCAUCUGCCAAUGUUCAUAAUUUGAGAUCCAUUCAUAUUGGAAUCUUUACAAGUUUGGGGCUUAUUGUGUAUUAGAUUAGGCCAAGCAUACAUUAAAUAUUUUUAAUGUUACUGAUAUUAAAUAUUUAUAUUAGUGAUAUUAAUUUUAAUAAUAAAUAUUAUUUUAAUUAUUCAGA